UCACCUUACCCUUACCUAUUAUAUUCAAAACAAAAACAGGAAAUAGUCUUGUUGUGUACUCCCAAACAAAAUGGAACAAUCUUUUAUGAAUUUCAAGUGGUUAGUAUCAUACAUCCGUUGCUCAAUUCUUGUUAUGUCUAUGACAGUGUCAUGUUUUGAUGAACAAGCUUUACUAGACUUUGAAAGUAGAAUCACUGAUGAUCCAUUCCAAGUCAUGUCUUCUUGGAACAAUUCUCUCCAUUACUGCAAUUGGACAGGCAUAACAUGUAACCCCUUCUUUGAAAGAGUCAUAAUUCUUGACUUGAGAUCACUAAAGCUCGUUGGAUCCAUACCGCCUUCUAUUGGGAACCUCACGUUCCUAACAGCGAUAAAUCUUAGGAAUAAUAGCUUCCAUGGUGAAGUUCCUAUGGAAAUUGGCAACCUGUUGCAGCUGCAACAUCUCAAUCUCACUUGGAAUUCUUUUACUGGAACCAUUCCUGCUAAUUUGAGUUACUGUAAAGAACUUAAAUCACUUGCUCUAGAAUAUAAUAGUCUAUUUGGGAAAGUAUUACCUGAUCAGCUCAGUUCACUUUCAAAGUUGAAUUAUUUAGGCCUUGGAAGCAACAAUCUCACAGGAGGUAUUCCAUCAUGGAUAGGAAACUUUUCAUCUCUUCGAGGUCUUUCCCUUGCAAUUAACAAUCUACAAGGACCAAUACCUCGAGAUAUUGGUCGUUUGUCAAACUUGCAAAUCUUCCAAGUUUAUGGAAAUCAGUUGAAUGGUACAAUUCCUCAAUCUGUUUUCAAUAUAUCCUCUGUUUACUAUUUCUCUGUUACUCAAAACUUGUUGUAUGGAGAGCUUCCAUCAGAUAUAGGCCUUACUCUUCCAAAUCUUGAGGUGUUUGCUGGUGCUGUGAACGACUUCACGGGACCAAUUCCUGUUUCAUUAUCAAAUGCUUCAAAGCUUGGUGUGCUUGAUUUGUCUCAAAAUAAGCUCACCGGAAAUGUCCCUACGAGUUUAGGACAAUUGCAAAUGUUGUACAGGUUGAACUUUGAGAUCAAUAGUCUUGGAAGAAACACAAGUGAAGACUUGAGGUUUCUUGAUUUCAUAGUUAACUGCACAAUUUUGCAAGUUCUUAGCUUCGAGAACAAUUUUUUGGGAGGCGAAUUGCCUAAAACAAUCGGUAACCUUUCCACAAGUCUAGCAAUAUUUUGUGUCGGUUAUAAUAUAAUAGUUGGUUCUCUUCCUACUGGACUAGAAAACCUUGUUAAUUUGACCCUUCUAUCACUGGCUAAUAACAACUUGAGAGGCAGUGUUCCUGAGUCUUUAGGUAAGCUUCGACGCCUGCAAGGACUGAUGUUGAAUGGAAACAAGUUGUCUGGAAGGAUUCCAUCUUCUAUUGGUAACUUAACAUCUCUGUCUACUUUAAACAUUGAGGACAAUGAGUUAGAAGGAAACAUACCUCCGGAGCUCGGGCAGUGCACCCGUUUAUCAGUGCUAAACCUCACAGGAAAUAACCUUGUUGGUUCCAUACCAAAGGAGCUUGCAGGUCUUUUUUCUCUUUCAAUUGCUUUAGCCUUAUCGAACAAUUCUUUGACCGGUUCCUUGCCAGCUGAAAUUGGAAAGUUGAUAAAUCUCAAGGAAAUGGAUAUUUCACACAACAAAUUAUCAGGUGAAAUUCCAAGCACCCUAAGUAGCUGUGUCAGCUUAGAGCGCUUCACAGCGAAUAAUAACCUGUUUCGUGGAGAAAUUCCUGAAUCCUUGCAAGGUUUAAGAGGUUUAGAAGAAAUGGAUUUGUCACACAAUAACAUCUCAGGAGGAAUACCACAGUUUCUUGUGAAACUUCCAUAUCUUAGGAAGCUUGAUCUUUCAUUCAACAAACUUGAAGGCGAAGUACCAACUGAAGGGUUCUUUGCAAAUGCAAGCGCCGUCUUAAUCUCGGGGAAUCAUGAACUAUGUGGAGGUCCUCCAAACUACAAUUUUCCUACAUGUCCUAAACAAAAAGAUGCAUCAUCAAAGAAACACAUUAGUUCAAGGAAAAAAGUAGUAGCAAUUAUUCUUUCUGUUACAUUUUCAUUUUUACUAUUAUGUUCUUUUGUAGCUUGUUAUAUAGUAAUUAGGAACUCGAGAAAGAGAGAUCUCACUGGACGGUCCUCAAGAGAAAGGCAGUCUGAACAUUUUGAUGAUGACAAACCAACUUUGUCUAAUGAUCCAAUUUUGGCAGCAAAAAUAACUUACCAAGAUAUAUUUAAGUCAACCAUUGGAUUUUCUGAGGAUAAUCUGAUCGGUACAGGAAGUUUUGGUUCUGUUUACAAAGGACAGUUUCAGGUUUUUGAUAAAGCUAUGGCAGUGAAAGUAUUGAACCUACAACAAAGAGGUGCUUUGAAAAGCUUUUCGGAUGAAUGCAGAGCUUUGAAAAGCAUAAGGCAUCGUAAUCUCCUCAAGAUAAUAGCUGUUUGUUCAAGCAUGGAUUACCAAGGUAAUGAUUUCAAAUGCAUAGUCUUUGAGUUCAUGGAAAAUGGAAGCUUAGAUGACUGGCUGCACUCGAAAGGUGAUGAGCAAUACCUCAAUAUAAUCCAAAGACUAAACAUCGCAAUAGAUGUUGCUUCAGCACUUGAUUAUCUCCACAACAAUUGCCAAGUACCAAUUGUUCACUGCGAUUUAAAACCGAGCAACAUACUCCUCGAUGAAGAGAUGACUGCCCAUGUUGGUGACUUUGGACUGGCAAAAUUUCUCUUUAAAUCAUCAUGGAACAAACAAACUUCUAUUGCACUAAACGGUUCUAUAGGUUAUAUCCCACCAGGGACUGAGGUUGAGGAUCAUAUUCCCACACGUGGCUAGUGAGCUUUCUUGUCGGCGGAGUUAUGAUAUUUGACAUACUCGUACAUUUUAUGUACUGACGACAUUUGGUCUGCAUCAUUUAUGAUGCAGAUAUUGGUGCUAGAGAUCAUCAACAUGCACUCCGUUGAAGACCUAUUCCUUUCCUGACAAAUGAUUUCGGUGCUCGUUUCCAGAAUCAUGGCUAGUAAGAUUGCAGCACUUCCAGUCAUAAGUUGGUGAGUCCUCCUCAUUUGGGGACUCCAUGGAUUUAGUUUGUUAGACUUUCUUUGUUUAGUCAUUGGACUUUGAGAUAGUUAGAGGCCACGUCCCAAUAAACUUAUUUCUUUUAUUCAAGGCAUUAGAGGUUUAUUUCAAGUUUUAGUAUUAAAUUCAUGG